AGGGUUCGAUUAUGGCUCAGGAUGAACGCUGGCGGCGUGCCUAACACAUGCAAGUCGAGCGAAGCACUUUGCUUUGAAUCUUUCGGGAGGACGAGUGAUUUGACUGAGCGGCGGACGGGUGAGUAACGCGUGGGCAACCUGCCUCACACAGGGGGAUAACAGUUAGAAAUGACUGCUAAUACCGCAUAAGACCACAGCACCGCAUGGUGCGGGGGUAAAAACUCCGGUGGUGUGAGAUGGACCCGCGUCUGAUUAGGUAGUUGGUGAGGUAACGGCUCACCAAGCCGACGAUCAGUAGCCGGCCUGAGAGGGUGGACGGCCACAUUGGGACUGAGACAUGGCCCAA
rnacentral:rRNA from 1 species